rnacentral:tRNA from 1 species
AAGAAAGUGACAGAGCGGUUAUGUACCUGGCUUGAAACCAGUGGAUGGGGGUUCAAUUCCCUCCUUUCUCG